rnacentral:rRNA from 1 species
CCUACGGGGGGCUGCAGUGAGGAAUAUUGGGCAAUGCCCGCAAGGGUGACCCAGCAACGCCGCGUGGAGGAUGAAGGCCGUAAGGUUGUAAACUCCUGUUAGAGGAGAAGAAUAGUACCGAUUGGAUCGGUAUUUGACUGUACCCUCAGAGAAAGCCCCGGCUAACUACGUGCCAGCAGCCGCGGUAAUACGCAGGGGGCAAGCGUUGUCCGGAUUUACUGGGUGUAAAGGGGGCUAGGGCGGCAUAGGUGAAAACCUACAGCUUAACUGUAGAACUGCCUUUGAUACUGUUAUUAUUGAGUUCGGGAGAGAGAGACGGAAUUCCAGGUGUAGUGGUGAAAUACGAAGAUAUCUGGAAGAACACCAGUUGCGAAGGCGGUCUCUUGGUCCGAUACUGACGCUGAGGCGCGAAAGCGUGGGGAGCAAACAGGAUUAGAUACCCCUGUAGUC